UAGAGAAACGCGGUGAACGAACCGACUUUC
rnacentral:piRNA from 1 species